rnacentral:rRNA from 1 species
AACGCUGGCGGCAGGCCUAACACAUGCAAGUCGAGCGGUAGCACAGAGAGCUUGCUCUCGGGUGACGAGCGGCGGACGGGUGAGUAAUGUCUGGGAAACUGCCUGAUGGAGGGGGAUAACUACUGGAAACGGUAGCUAAUACCGCAUAAUGUCGCAAGACCAAAGUGGGGGACCUUCGGGCCUCAUGCCAUCAGAUGUGCCCAGAUGGGAUUAGCUAGUAGGUGGGGUAACGGCUCACCUAGGCGACGAUCCCUAGCUGGUCUGAGAGGAUGACCAGCCACACUGGAACUGAGACACGGUCCAGACUCCUACGGGAGGCAGCAGUGGGGAAUAUUGCACAAUGGGCGCAAGCCUGAUGCAGCCAUGCCGCGUGUGUGAAGAAGGCCUUCGGGUUGUAAAGCACUUUCAGCGGGGAGGAAGGCGAUAAGGUUAAUAACCUUGUCGAUUGACGUUACCCGCAGAAGAAGCACCGGCUAACUCCGUGCCAGCAGCCGCGGUAAUACGGAGGGUGCAAGCGUUAAUCGGAAUUACUGGGCGUAAAGCGCACGCAGGCGGUCUGUCAAGUCGGAUGUGAAAUCCCCGGGCUCAACCUGGGAACUGCAUUCGAAACUGGCAGGCUAGAGUCUUGUAGAGGGGGGUAGAAUUCCAGGUGUAGCGGUGAAAUGCGUAGAGAUCUGGAGGAAUACCGGUGGCGAAGGCGGCCCCCUGGACAAAGACUGACGCUCAGGUGCGAAAGCGUGGGGAGCAAACAGGAUUAGAUACCCUGGUAGUCCACGCCGUAAACGAUGUCGAUUUGGAGGUUGUGCCCUUGAGGCGUGGCUUCCGGAGCUAACGCGUUAAAUCGACCGCCUGGGGAGUACGGCCGCAAGGUUAAAACUCAAAUGAAUUGACGGGGGCCCGCACAAGCGGUGGAGCAUGUGGUUUAAUUCGAUGCAACGCGAAGAACCUUACCUGGUCUUGACAUCCACAGAACUUUCCAGAGAUGGAUUGGUGCCUUCGGGAACUGUGAGACAGGUGCUGCAUGGCUGUCGUCAGCUCGUGUUGUGAAAUGUUGGGUUAAGUCCCGCAACGAGCGCAACCCUUAUCCUUUGUUGCCAGCGGUUCGGCCGGGAACUCAAAGGAGACUGCCAGUGAUAAACUGGAGGAAGGUGGGGAUGACGUCAAGUCAUCAUGGCCCUUACGACCAGGGCUACACACGUGCUACAAUGGCAUAUACAAAGAGAAGCGACCUCGCGAGAGCAAGCGGACCUCAUAAAGUAUGUCGUAGUCCGGAUUGGAGUCUGCAACUCGACUCCAUGAAGUCGGAAUCGCUAGUAAUCGUAGAUCAGAAUGCUACGGUGAAUACGUUCCCGGGCCUUGUACACACCGCCCGUCACACCAUGGGAGUGGGUUGCAAAAGAAGUAGGUAGCUUAAC